CGAGGACCGAGCUCUUCUUUCUCUGCUUCCUUCUCCUUUCUUCUCCCCUCCCCUGUCCUCAUUCCCUGCCUUCUGUCUUGCCCACUCCCACCCCAUUUUCUGUUCCCUGCCCAUUUCCAUUUUCAGCCCUCCUACCUUCUUCUCCCUGCUCUCUUCUCUCCCCCUCCCUUUGGCUCUCUUCCCGCUUGCUGCCUGGGAAGCAGCAUCCAGCUUCUGCCUUCCAAGACCUACUGGGGGAGAAGAAGAGGAUCGCUGGACCUAUUCGGACUUCUCACAUGCUAAAGAGGGGUCAUUCCAGCAGCCUGGAGAAGGAGAUACGGCCAGAGAAUCUUCAUUUCUAAGAGGCGUAGGAUGCUGAGGAUGACCUCCUGCACCUUCCAGGAUGAGAGGAUACUGAUGUGGUCAGCUUACCACCAGGGGCCAGUUGGUCUCCUCAGGAAACAACACCAUUUCAAGGGUUCGAUGUUGGCUUUUCAUCAUGGACAAGUUGCACAUUCAGAAGUGGCAGGAGCUGGAUCAGUCUUGGGAAUGAACAAAACUGCGAAUGAUCAUAAUUCGCAGUUCCAAGCAAAGGGUCACCUGGUCUCCAACGAUCAAGUGUUCCGUCUCUGCCAGAGUUCAUGACAGGCCAGCUGGGAGCUGUUUCACAAAAGGAGUGCCAUUCUCUGCUGUGGCUUACGGGGCUUUGCUUCAGGAUGCCCGGGUCUUCAUUCUGCCUCAGUCCUGGAGCUUGCCGUAAGCUCCUUGCAUCGUCUUCUCCCACCACAAACAUCUCCAACACUACAGGAUCUGCCAGAUCAUAUGACCCAAGACAGAGGGCUGAUUGUACCUUGGCCUGGAUCUGCUGCAGAAUGUUCUCUUCUCUGGGUCCCACCCCUUGCUGUCUUCUCAGCUACCCAGGAUAUGGGCUAGAGCAAUAUUCCUUGACGUGAAAUGUGUGGCCUCCAGAAUGCAGAGAUCUAUCUGAGGCUGUGCUUUCCCCAUCAUGGUAGAAGAUGCAAGAUGCAGCACUUGGUCUUUUAUUUUGGAGAGAAUAUCUCAGCACAGCUCCUGACCACCGAACCCCUAAACUUCACUGAAGUGGCAGGUCCCUGAAUCCUUCUGGGGCUUAUCUUCCACCCUUGGGAGUUCGCUUGUCUUACCGACGCCUCCAGCAUAUCUGCCACUUCUGGCUGGUCCUGUCCAGACACGUAAUGUCAUCUCCCUGAGGUCAUGUGAGGUUCUGAGGAUGACUAGGUGGUACAGUUAUCUUCAGCCUGUAUCAUAGCAGUGAGUGAGACAGUUCCUACAGUCCUGGAGCAAAACCAUCAAUGAAUAGUUUAUCUUUCCCAUCUCAGAGUGAACUGUUUCCUCUCCUCUUUUCUAACCAGAAUGGAAUAAACAAACAAACAAACAAAAAAACGUAUUCACCAAAUCAGUGGCUGCAUGCUAUGUACCCGAGGUCUUAUUAUUCUGCUUUGACAAUAGUGGAACACGGGGCACAGCAAAUGGAUCGGUCAUGCUCUCUGCAGCUGGAAGUCUGCAAGGCGCAUUCUCACACAGGUGGGAAUCGGUGUCCAUAGAUACCCACGCCCCACAUGAAGCUGCAGGGCUGGGCCUGUCUGAGAGUGACACAGGCUGGAGGAGAAACUGGGAGAUGGUGGAUGUCCCUCCUCAGAAAACCUUGCUGUGGAGCCUUCAUGAGUUUUUCCCCUAAUUUUUCAAUGCUGGUUUUUAAUUCAUUUAUUCUCACUUUUAAAUGUGUAUUGCUAUGGAAAGGCGUGUAGCGUUAGAAAUGUCAGAUCCCAAAUUUGCAUGACUCCAAAGUUCGUGGCCUUCCUACUAUACCCCCGCCCCCAGCUCCAGCCUCUGUCAUCCCCCAGUGGGAAAUUCAGUUCUUUGAGUUGUGUGUUGUGUGGUUGCUCUCCACCUUGAGAUAAAGUUCUUGAGAUAAAGAAGGGGGUUCCUCAUUGGCCUCCCAUCAUCCUGGAAGCUCCCUGAGGCUAGGCCCCAGGCUCCAGGACCAGUCUCAGAGCCCCUCCCUUCAUACCCCUGCCUGGAACCGGGAGGCAGGAGGGGGUAAUACUGGGAGAGGGGGACUGGGAAACAGCCAGGAUGGCAUUUGAAGGAGCCAAAGAAGCCUCCCCUUCCUCAGGUCCUGACAGAAGUACUCCUUGGAAAGGAAACGACCAUUGUCCAGUACAGUAGGGGGAAGAGCCCAGGUAAAUGAGGCAUGCCUGGGAGGCUGGGGGUGGCCCUGGGAAUCACAGGAGCUGCCAUCGGGGGGCGUCACCAGCCCCAGCCUCAAGGGUAUGGCUUUGGGAAAGCAGUGGAAAGCUGUGCCGGGGCCCAGGAAAACUGUCAAGGCCAAAGGCACUCAGAGAUUGGCAUUUCCUCCCAAAAGGACUCAUUUGCUCAACAUGGCGUCUCCUAAACCCCUAGACCCCACGCCGCUCUGCCCUCCCUCUUUUGUCAACUCACAUCACUCACUGCAGAGGGCAGAAAACCAACAGUGGGCCUAGUUGCUUGGGUAGAAAAUCAACUUGGCGCUUCUUCAUGCUAGAAAACCGCUGUCCUGUGGAUGGGCCGUUAUAUUCCAGUCCUCUCACCUGCACGUCCGCAGUCAGGAGAUUGACCAGACAAGGAAUUGCAGUGUCCAUUCUGCAGACAAAGUGCGUCUCAGGGACCCUGAGUGAUUUGCUUCCCAGUAGUUGCUUUAAGAUCCCACCAUCUAGUUGCAAUCGUUUCUGUUUUCUCACCUUUGCAAUACCAUGCACCAGUUUGGGUUGUGCGUGGAAUGAGUGUCUGUAAAUUUGAAUCCUGGCUUAGCUACCUCAAGGGAUUCCAAGAUUUCCAGGGGCCCACGGGGAGUCCUGUCAGUGAGAACAACCAGCCACCUCCAGCCCAGAUCAUCUGGCUGCUCUGUGUGGGUUUUCCCCAGCUGGGUUUUGGUAAUUCUAGACCCUGGGCUGUGUAGAUGGAGCUGCUGCCGCCCUUCUGCCUGGCCUGCCUCCCCUGCCCAGGUCAGUAUAUUUUCUUCCUCCCCUGCAGCCUGCCUACCUCUAACCUGGUGCCUGGUGCCCAAUAGUUACUAAAUGAAUGAAUGAGUGAAUGAAUAAAUGAAUGGUGAGCAUGGCCUUGUUACACUCCUGAUCCUGCCUUCUACCUGCCCCCGCUCUGGUCUUAUGAUGGCCUUCUCUUCCACUAACCUUGGCCUUGAUCUUAACUAGUAUUUGCAACCUUCUGUUCACUCCGUCUCCUGGCUCUGUAAGGAGGGAACGCUCCUCUAAAAUUAGCUAAUGUUUGAAGUGAGCACUCAGGAGACUUUCUCCCCCUCUUGUUGGAUCCCAUCUUACAUGCCUGAUGGAUCUCAAAAAUAAUUUAUGACCAGCUUCGUUAUAGAAAAGACUCAAACAGUUUCUAAAUUUAAAUAUGUUACAAAUUAUAAAACAAAUAAAUGCAGAAAUCAUGGCAAAGGGAACGUGAGAGUAAGAAACAGAAGGUAAAACAAGGAAUGAGGUCAAUGCAAAUGGGAGAUCCAGUAUAAUUUCCAGAGGUAGGCCAAAUAGCUGCAGCUGAGCUUCCUACCAGCCAGUGCAAAGAGAGCAGCCUGAUUAGUUAUAAUCUUCCUUGGUGUCCUUAAAAUAAAGGCAAAUCACGUAGAGAAACUCAACAGUUUUGGAAGUAAGCUUAGACUCUGCGUAAAGUAAGCGUACCCAUAAUCAUAGCCUCCCUAAUUAUAGUAAUCAUAAAUAGAGCAAGAAAGUUUAUAUGACUGCUUCCUUUUUAAAAAUACAGAAAAUACAGAGACCAUCACGAACACGCUCAACUCUAUCAUCUACAAUGAUAGUUGUUAAUAUUUUGCCAGCAUUACUUAUUAUACAGAAUUAAUGAAAGAAAUAAAACUCCUCAGAUAAAGUCCUCUAUCUCCUUCCUAUAGCCCUCCUCUCCCUAAAGACAACUAGCAUGGUAAAUUUGGUAUUUAUCCUCCCAGUCCAUUUAAAAGUUAUUUUACACACAGACAUAUGUUCCAUUAAUAUUAAAUACUCCUUUCAAUCAACAUAGUCAUAGUUUAUGGAAUAUUUCAUUCAGUCACUCACUUUCUUAGCUUAGAAGUAUGUUUUUGGCCAAGCAUGGUGGUUCAUGCCUGUAAUCCCAGCACUUUGGGAGGCUGAAGUGGGUGGAUCACUUGAGGUCAGAGUUUGAAACCAGCCUGGCCAACAUGGUGAAACCCUGUCCGUACUAAAAAUACAAAACUUAGCCUGGUGUGGUGGCGCAUGCCUCUAAUGCCAACUACUCGAGAGGCUGAGGCAGGAGAACCACUGGAAUGGGGGAGGUGGAGGUUGCAGUGAGUGCAUACCACUGCACUCCAGCUUGGGUGACAGAAUGGGACUCCAUCUCAAAAUGUGUGUGUGUGUGUGUGUUUAAAAAUCAGUCUGUGUUGAUACAUAUGUCUAAUUAUUUUCUUUUCAAUUCUGUACAGUAUUUUAUAGAAUAAGAAUACUACAUUUUACUUGCCUGUUCUUCUACUAAUGGCUAGUCUACAUUAGACCAGCCAAUGCUUUUCUCUUAAAAUAAAAGCUUCA